rnacentral:rRNA from 1 species
UGAGCAAUCUGCCCUUCUCAUCGGAAUAAGCGUUGGAAACGACGUCUAAUGCCGAAUACGACCUCCUUUCGCAUGAUCGGAGGUGGAAAGCUCCGGCGGAGAAGGAUGAGCUCGCGGCCUAUCAGCUAGUUGGUGUGGGUAAUGGCCCACCAAGGCGACGACGGGUAGCUGGUCCGAGAGGAUGACCAGCCACAUUGGGACUGAGACACGGCCCAGACCUCUACGGGAGG